AUUGAACGCUGGCGGCAUGCCUUACACAUGCAAGUCGAACGGCAGCACGGGUGCUUGCACCUGGUGGCGAGUGGCGAACGGGUGAGUAAUACAUCGGAACGUACCUUAUCGUGGGGGAUAACGCAGCGAAAGCUGUGCUAAUACCGCAUACGCCCUGAGGGGGAAAGCGGGGGAUCGAAAGACCUCGCGCGAUUAGAGCGGCCGAUGCCUGAUUAGCUUGGUGGUGGGGUAAAAGCCCACCAAGGCGACGAUCAGUAGCUGGUCGGAGAGGACGAUCAGCCACACUGGGACUGAGACACGGCCCAGACUCCUACGGGAGGCAGCAUUGGGGAAUUUUGGACAAUGGGGGCAACCCUGAUCCAGCAAUGCCGCGUGAGUGAAGAAGGCCUUCGGGUUGUAAAGCUCUUUUGUCAGGGAAGAAACACCGGCUCUAACACAGUCCGGGAAUGACGGUACCUGAAGAAUAAGCACCGGCUAACUACGUGCCAGCCGCCGCGGUAA
rnacentral:rRNA from 1 species